UACAGAGGAUGCAAGCGUUAUCCGGAAUGAUUGGGCGUAAAGCGUCUGUAGGUGGCUUUUUAAGUCCGCCGUCAAAUCCCAGGGCUCAACUCUGGACAGGCGGUGGAAACUACCAAGCUGGAGUACGGUAGGGGCAGAGGGAAUUUCCGGUGGAGCGGUGAAAUGCGCAGAUAUCAGGAGGAACACCAAUGGCGAAGGCAGCACUCUGGGACGGUACUGACGCUGAGACGCGAAAGCGUGGGGAGCAAACAGG
rnacentral:rRNA from 1 species